GAUGAACGCUGGCGGCGUGCCUAAUACAUGCAAGUCGAGCGAACGGACGAGGAGCUUGCUCCUUUGACGUUAGCGGCGGACGGGUGAGUAACACGUGGAUAACCUACCUAUAAGACUGGGAUAACUUCGGGAAACCGGAGCUAAUACCGGAUAAUAUAUUGAACCGCAUGGUUCAAUAGUGAAAGACGGUUUUGCUGUCACUUAUAGCUGGAUCCGCGCCGCAUUAGCUAGUUGGUAAGGUAACGGCUUACCAAGGCAACGAUGCGUAGCCGACCUGAGAGGGUGAUGGGCCACACUGGAACUGAGACACGGUCCAGAGUCCUACGGGAGGCAGCAGUAGGGAAUCUUCCGCAAUGGGCGAAAGACUGACGGAGCAACGCCGCGUGAGUGAUGAAGGUCUUCGGAUCGUAAAACGCUGUUAUUAGGGAAGAACAAAUGUGUAAGUAACUAUGCACGUCUUGACGGUACCUAAUCAGAAAGCCACGGCUAACUACGUG
rnacentral:rRNA from 1 species